UUACCUUUUAAACUAUUAAACCCCAAUACGCCAUAUCUCCUUCAAUCACAAUAGGUUUGCCAGAUUGAAAGUGAAAACCCUAAAUCCCCAAAUUUUCACCAGUUUGUUCUAAAUCAUCAAAUUCAUCCAUCAAUUCACCAAUAUUUCGAUCAUGUCGUCGGAAAGAUGCAAAUCCGGUCGAUCGUCACGCAUCUCCGACGAGAAUCACCGGCGAGAUUCACAUCUCUGAGGCGAAUCACUGUCACACACUCACUCACACGCAGCUAUAAUGUACUCAACGAAGCUCCAUCUGCCGGAAAAAUCCACCGCUCUAAUUGUCUUCGCAUAACCGUUCUGGUACAGUCCAUCAAAACUCAAUAGCUUGAUGGAGAUUGUUAAUUGUUCCGGUACAGUCGAUCAAAACCUAAAAGCUUGAUGGAGAUUGUUAUGAGUUCAAGUGAGAAGGUAUAAGGCUGACAAGUAUGACCGAUUAUGGAAGGCAAUUAGUUGGCCUCGUUAUAGGGAUCGGUUGUCUACAGCUUGCACUUCGAAAAUGAGUCUUGGUUUGGUAAACAAGAACGCGAUGAAAAAUACUUUUUAACUAUUUUUUUCUAUCAUAACUCAAAACUUAACCUUUCUUGUGGUUUUUGCAGUGCCUUAUUCCACAGAAUACGGUGCAGUGUAUUAAAAUUUAAAACACCAAAUUUCUUGAUUAAUGCAGCCUAUGAUUCAUGGCACGUUAGACAAACCUCAAUAUGAGCAGCAAUAAUAUAAUAGAAUAAUAUUUGAUUUAAUUAUGAUUUAGAUAAUCAGCUUACAGGUAAAGACUAUAUUGGCCCAGGAGUUACUGAUCGACAACGCACAUGCCGCAAAUGCAACAAAGUGCUCAACGGCUCAACUCAAUGUCCUGUAAGGGUUCAAACAAGAGUUCUUCCGGGUGCUGACUGGAUUCAGCAACCCUCCUUCAAGAGGCUUGAUUGAUCAUUUGAUUCAUUUUUUGUUUCCUAACAUUACAAUUUCGUUGUAGGAAGUACCUGGGAGUCAUGUUGACCAGAAAGGAUCCAUUGUUCUUCCAGAAAAGUUACGGUUUGACUUCUCCCAUGGGAAACCCGUAAAGCCCGAUGACCUUCGUAGAAUUGAAUCAAUCAUGAAUGAACAAAUUAAAGCUGAGCUGGAGGUUUCAGCGAAGAAGGCAAGCCUUGCUGAUGCGAAAAGAGUAAAUGGUUUGCGCACUGUUUUUGGUGAAGUGUACCCUGAUCCCGUUAGGAUUGUUGCUAUCGUUCGAAAAGUGGACGAUUUAUUGGCUGAUCCUGAAAAUGAAGAAUGGUCGUCCAUAUCUGCAGAACUCUAUUUCAAACACACGCGAGGCAAAAGCGGUUGCUCUUUUGUCUGAGGAGGGAAUUGCUAAGGGAUUAGGAGAAUUAUCACUAUAACAACAAACUAUGCUUUUGAAGUUAUUAAAAAGGCGUCUGAGCUUGAACUGGAAGUUGAUCUGGCAUCUAAGAUGGAAGGAAGCUUUCUUGAACAGUGUAGAAGAAAAUUGUAGAGAAGCUGUAUAAAGCCAAGCUGGUUGUGGAGAGGCAUAAAGCCAAGUCGGUUUUUGAUUUAAGACACAUUUUAAACUAGUGACCAGUUUACUUUAAGUAUGCAAUUUGAGGUAAGUCUGUAUCUAAUCCCUUGAAAGAUAAACAAGCGUAAAAGAAGACGAGAGAAAUUGGUGCGAUUGAAGGUAACUCUGUAUCUAAUAAACUCGAUUACAGGUAAUUGAUAUUUUGCUAUAUCUUGACUUUCAUGGGUCUCCUCUUUUGUAGCUGCACGAUUUGUAAAUAGUUGAUUCUUUGGCCUAAGUUGAUUAGAUCUAAAUAGUAAUACCAUGGCGAAACGCAGGCUACAUUUACUAGUUUAGCUAUAAUUUAGGCUUGAUUUGGGUUUUGGUAUGGUAUUUUCUUAUAUGGGCAUGUCUUCUCUGCUAUUGUCUUUAUAUUGAUUUAUGUUUUGUUUAUCGAUUUAGGUACAACCGUAAGAAGCUAACUUAUGAAGAGAGGAAGUAAAAGCUUAUCGAGAGGUUGAAUGCAUUAAAUGAUGAUAACGAUUUUGACGUAGAUUGAUGAUUUUUGAAGUUUGUUAAAUUUUUGUUAGUUUGUGGCUAAACAUAUAUAUAUAUAUAUUUUUUUGAAAAGAAAA